rnacentral:misc_RNA from 1 species
GUUAAUACAUUCAAUGAGAAGAGAAAUGAAGUCUUCUCUAUUUCAGGGACAAUUUCCACAACUGUACUUGUCACACGAUCAAGAUGUUUCAGGGAAGUUACAACACAUUAAUAUUUCUUCUACUAGUCUUUAUUUUAGAUGCAGAUGUGCUCUCCGAGGUAAUAUCUAGUGGAUCCAGAAACAUCUCAAGGGAAGCAUGUAUGAUUCCAGCAUCGAAAGACCACUAUUAUGUUUCCUUUGAUGAAUCCAGACCCCUCCAUUCGGGAACAGAUAAGGUAGAAGGAGAUGGACAAACGGCUGUGAAAGUGAAAUGUUUCAGUUCCCUAAAACACAUUACAGAUGAUGUAGUAAUUUGUUUCGAUGGACAAUGGUACCCAGCCGAUCAUGGAUGUGAGGCAAAAGUCUGCAAACCGGUUCAUAACACUACCACAACAAAUUACACCUGUACCUCUCCAGAAGGCAGGGAAAUUAGUUGCGCUGUACCGGUUCCAAUAAACUCCCAGAUCACAAUUCACUGUGCACACUGGAGAUUCACCAAUCCGAACCUAGAAAAUAACACAAAAUUAUGUUUGGACGGUGGUUGGCAAGAGUGGAAACCAUGUGAACCAACAUGUGGGAGGGUGAAACCUUUCACGGAUUUCAUCCAAAUUCCAAAGAUUGAGAGAGAAUUGUAUCUCAACCCUUGGCAUGUUAUAAUCUAUCGUUUAGUGGACAAAAGAUGGACUCAAAAGUGUGUAGGUACCAUCCUGAGUAGUCUUACAAUCAUCACAGCCAGUGUAUGUUUCGAUCCAGAGGGGAAAUCGAUAGAUGAGAGGACAGUUAAGGUUGCUGCAGGUCAGUUUCACGAUUUCAAAACUGCACAAUCUUUAUCCCACAUCUAUGAUGUUCAUAGGAUCUCCAUUGAGACUUCUGACUCUUCUUCGAUUGCCAUGGUAUACACUGAGACCCAUAUCCAGUUCAAUGACACGGUUGGUGAUGUUUGUUACUACUACGAUAAAACUUUGAAUCCUGCAAAGGAAUUCGGUUUGCAGAUGGCAGUCUUGAUAGAGAACACUAACACAGGAACCAUUGUGAAGGACACAGAGUUGAUGAAUUAUUCACAAUGUCCAUCCUCAACGACCAGUAAAUUCAACAAAAAUUCAAUACUAUCAAUUUUUGAUAAUUUCUUCAAGCCUAUUGAUCAGAUAUGUGCGGAGUUUAGGAGUGGCAGAAAGUUUGACCCCAGAGACAUUGGAGCAGGACUUGUGUUCCAGAAACCGGGUAAACGUGCAGAGUUCUAUUUGAAAGGGGUGCUUUGUGGUUCAAGUGAAAAUGGUAAAGUUCUAAAUUUUUUGGACACUUCAAACAUGGAUAGGGAGCAAAUGAUUCAUAAGUUUGUGGAAAUGGGUCUGGGUUUACAACAUAUGUUUAAAAUGUCGAAGAAAUUGUUGUCGAUAUUGCCAUGAUUGGGUUAGAUCAUAGAGAAUAUAUAGUUGAAGAAGAUAUUGCCAAAAAUCACAUACAAAUACUUGUACAAAUGGACAUUGAUUGUAACUUGCACAACAAUAAUUAUCAAUGUAAUAUUCGGCACUGCCAACAUAAGAUUUCUUGUGUGUAUUUAUAUGUGCCAAGGUAUAGGGCGUUUAUGUUCCAAAUUUCACUGGUGACUCAAGCCGAUAGUUCUAUUAUUAAUUUUUCGUGGAACUAUGUGACGCUGGUAGUCUCUCACACUGUGCCGUUCUUACACUCUCACCCCCAAAAAACAGUAAUAAUGAACAGUAGUCAAAAGUAAUCAGCUUAAGCUAAAAAAAAUCGGCUUGAAAUUUGGAACAUAAACUGUUCAUACCAUGAGAUAUCCACGUCAUUAUUGAGUUAGAUGGACUGCCUCAAUUGAAUUCACUCAGAAAUAUUAUUGAUACAGAAUUGAUCAAUUGAAUGAAAUUACGAUGGAAAAUAGA